GUGAGUUUAGCCCAGUUGGUAGGGAUAUUGCAUAUUAUAUGCAUGGGCCAGGGUUCGAACCCUGAACUCUCC
rnacentral:tRNA from 2 species